AAGCGCUGGCAACCAGACUUGCGGCUGAGGGUUCCCCCUUGCUUUUGCCUGGGUUACUCCCUCUUCUCCAGGCCAACAUCGGUUUAGGUGGUCGGUUAAAGGCCCUGGGAAUGUACCAACCCCUCGGGGUUGACUUAUAGCCCAGGGUGUCAUGCGGCCUACCCGGACCGAGGAACGCGCUUCGGCUCGGAUGUUGGCGUAAUGGUUGUCAGCGA
rnacentral:rRNA from 1 species